AUACUACAAAUCGCCGCUGGUAAGGAUUCAGACAUCACAGAAACUCAAAUACAACCAAAGUUUUGCUGGUGCAAAUAUACGAGCUGGAGGAGCAUAAGAUUGAGACCUGGAGAGAACUUUACUUGCAAGAAACGUUUAAACCCUU